UUUGUCCUACGGGAUGCAGCAGACGAGAAACAUUAAUAAUGGGGGAAACCCUGAUGGUGCGACGCCGCGUGGGGGAAUGAAGGUCUUCGGAUUGUAAACCCCUGUCAUGUGGGAGCAAAUUAAAAAGAUAGUACCACAAGAGGAAGAGACGGCUAACUCUGUGCCAGCAGCCGCGGUAAUACAGAGGUCUCAAGCGUUGUUCGGAAUCACUGGGCGUAAAGCGUGCGUAGGCUGUUUCGUAAGUCGUGUGUGAAAGGCGCGGGCUCAACCCGCGGACGGCACAUGAUACUGCGAGCCUAGAGUAA
rnacentral:rRNA from 1 species